GUGCUUGCUUCUGCAGCACAUACACUAAAGUUGGAAUGAUAAAGAGAUUAGCACAGCCCCUGAACAAGGAUGAAACGCAAAUUCAUGAAGCAUCCCACAUAUAU